GAUGAACGCUAGCGGCAGGCUUAAUACAUGCAAGUCGAGGGGUAGCAAGAUUGUAGCAAUACAAUUGUUGACGACCGGCAAACGGGUGCGGAACACGUACACAACCUUCCUACAAGUGGGGAAUAGCCCAGAGAAAUUUGGAUUAAUACCCCGUAACAUAGCGAUGUGGCAUCACAUUGCUAUUAUAGCUUCGGCGCUUGUUGAUGGGUGUGCGGCUGAUUAGAUAGUUGGCGGGGUAACGGCCCACCAAGUCUACGAUCAGUAGCGGAUGUGAUGAGAUGAGACGCAACACGGGAACUGGGGCACGGGCCCGACUCCGACUGGAGGCAGCAGUAAGGAAUAUUGGACCAUUGACGGAAGUCUGAUCCAGCAAUGCCGCGUGAAGGAUUAAGGUCCUCUGGAUUGUAAACUUCUUUUAUAAGGGACGAAAAAAGGUCUUUCUAGAUCGUCUGACGGUACCUUAUGAAUAAGCACCGGCUAACUCCGUGCCAGCAGCCGCAGUAACAC
rnacentral:rRNA from 1 species